rnacentral:rRNA from 1 species
AAUCAACGCUGGCGGCGUGCCUAACACAUGCAAGUCGAACGAGAAAGAGGGGGCAACUCCUCGAGUAAAGUGGCGACCGAGUGAGUAACACGUGACUAACCUACCCUUGAGUGGGGAAUAACCUUCCGAAAGGAGGGCUAAUACCGCAUAACAUCGCGAGGCGAGAUUCCUUGUGAUCAAAGGAGCAAUUGGCUUAAGGAGGGGGUCGCGGCUGAUUAGCUAGUUGGUGAGGUAACGGCUCACCAAGGCGAUGAUCAGUAUCCGGCCUGAGAGGGCGCACGGACACACUGGAACUGAAACACGGUCCAGACUCCUACGGGAGGCAGCAGUGGGGAAUUUUGCGCAAUGGGGGAAACCCUGACGCAGCAACGCCGCGUGGAGGAUGAAGGUCUUUGGAUUGUAAACUCCUUUCGAUCGGGACGAUUAUGACGGUACCGGAAGAAGAAGCACCGGCUAACUCUGUGCCAGCCGCCGCCGUAAAAC